rnacentral:rRNA from 1 species
GACGAACGCUGGCGGCGUGCUUAACACAUGCAAGUCGUACGGUAAGGCCCUUUCGGGGGUACACGAGUGGCGAACGGGUGAGUAACACGUGAGUAACCUGCCCACAACUUUGGGAUAACGCUAGGAAACUGGUGCUAAUACUGGAUAUGUGCCCCUGCUGCAUGGGGGGGGUUGGAAAGCUCCGGCGGUUGUGGAUGGACUCGCGGCCUAUCAGCUUGUUGGUGGGGUAGUGGCCUACCAAGGCGGCGACGGGUAGCCGGCCUGAGAGGGUGACCGGCCACAUUGGGACUGAGAUACGGCCCAGACUCCUACGGGAGGCAGCAGUGGGGAAUAUUGCACAAUGGGCGCAAGCCUGAUGCAGCAACGCCGCGUGCGGGAUGACGGCCUUCGGGUUGUAAACCGCUUUCAGCAGGGACGAAGCUUUUUGUGACGGUACCUGCAGAAGAAGCACCGGCUAACUACGUG